AAUCAACGCUGGCGGCGUGCCUCAGACAUGCAAGUCGAACGCGAAAGUCCCCUUCGGGGGACAAGUAGAGUGGCGCACGGGUGAGUAACACGUAGGUAAUCUACCUUCGGAUGGGGAAUAACAAUCGGAAACGGUUGCUAAUACCGCAUAAUGCAGCGGCACCUAAUGGUGACAGUUGUUAAAGCGGGGGAUCGAAAGACCUCGCGUCUGAAGAGGAGCCUGCGGCGGAUAGCUAGUUGGUAAGGUAACGGCUUACCAAGGCGACGAUCCGUAGCCGGCCUGAGAGGGCGGUCGGCCACACUGACACUGACAUACGGGUCAGACUCCGUACGGAGGCAGCAGUCGGGAAUUUUGGGCAAUGGGCGAAAGCCUGACCCAGCAACGCCGCGU
rnacentral:rRNA from 1 species